GCUGGGCGUGGUGGUGCAUGCCUGUAAUCCUAGCUACUCAGGAGGCUGAGGCAGGAGAAUCGCUUGAACCCGGGAGGCGGAGGUUGCAGUGAGCUGAGAUCGUGCCACUGCAUUCCAGCCUGGGCGACAGAGUGAGACUCUGUCUCAG
rnacentral:SRP_RNA from 2 species